UGCACCGAUGGACUACGAGUUACGGGGCUCCCUCUUGAUGGCCACCGCCAGACACUUUUUCCUCAGCAAAUCCUCAACAGAUAUAACGUUACUAUAAAACUGGAGACUUGGAUUUUAGUCUUGUUAUUAGUACAACCAGUCACACAGCAGCUCUUUGUAUGUCGGGCAGGUGAACAUUAACAUUAGACUCCUGAUGGCUCUCUAUUAAAUAGCGUGUUGCUAUUUGCUAGCUAACGUAACCAGUUAGCCCUCAGUCAGAAAUGUAACGCCAAAAGUCAGUACAGUAAUGCA